GGUAUCCUCGGGUAUUUUAUCCUUGAGAGGGGCCAAUAGAGUCCAGCAAUUUGUCUUGGGCGCCUCUGAAUCCUCUCAUAACUCCCUUGCGGGGUCGCGGCAACCCAUAGUCAUGACCAUCAUCCACUGAUCAAACACAGGUGUGUCAUUCUGUCUGGGAGGGAAGGGCGUGGGCAGUCCAACCGCAAGCGGUUACGGACAUCUUUAUCCAGAGGCUAGUAAAGC